UACGUAGGGUGCAAGCGUUGUCCGGAAUUAUUGGGCGUAAAGAGCUCGUAGGCGGUUUGUCGCGUCGGCUGUGAAAACUCGGGGCUCAACCCCGAGCCUGCAGUCGAUACGGGCAAACUAGAGUGUGGUAGGGGAGACUGGAAUUCCUGGUGUAGCGGUGAAAUGCGCAGAUAUCAGGAGGAACACCGGCGGCGAAGGCGGGUCUCUGGGCCGAUACUGACGCUGAGACGCGAAAGCGUGGGGAGCAAACAGG
rnacentral:rRNA from 1 species